UACAGAGGGGGCAAGCGUUAUUCGGAAUUAUUGGGCGUAAAGGGCGCGUAGGCGGCUUUGCAAGUCGGGUGUGAAAUCCCCAGGCUUAACCUGGGAACUGCAUUCGAGACUGCAUUGCUAGAGUAUGGGAGAGGGAAGUGGAAUUUCCGGUGUAGCGGUGAAAUGCGUAGAUAUCGGAAGGAACAUCAGUGGCGAAAGCGACUUCCUGGACCAAUACUGACGCUCAUGUGCGAAAGCGUGGGGAGCAAACAGG
rnacentral:rRNA from 1 species